UACGAGGGGGGCGAGCGUUGUUCGGAAUUAUUGGGCGUAAAGGGUGCGUAGGCGGUUUGGUAAGUCUUAUGUGAAAUCUAUGGGCUCAACUCAUAGUCUGCAUGAGAAACUGCCGGGCUUGAGUAUGGGAGAGGUGAGUGGAAUUCCUGGUGUAGCGGUGAAAUGCGUAGAGAUCGGGAAGAACACCAGUGGCGAAAGCGCUCUGCUGGACUGCAACUGACACUGAGGGACGAAAGCUAGGGGAGCGAAAGGG
rnacentral:rRNA from 1 species